rnacentral:rRNA from 1 species
AAUAUUGGACCAGGGGGGGAACCCUGAUCCAGCCAUGCCGCGUGUGUGAAGAAGGUCNNNGGAUUNUAAAGCACUUUAAGUUGNGAANAAGAGUUGUAGGCUAAUACCUUGCAAUUUUGACGUUACCAACAGAAUAAGCACCGGCUCACUUCGUGCCAGCAGCCGCGGUCAUACGAAGGGUGCAAGCGUUAAUCGGAAUUACUGGGCGUAAAGCGCGCGUAGGUGGUUCGUUAAGUUGGAAGUGAAAGCCCCGGGCUUAACCUGGGAAUUGCUUUCAAAACUGACGAGCUAGAGUACGGUAGAGGGUAGUGGAAUUUCCUGUGUAGCGGUGAAAUGCGUAGAUAUAGGAAGGAACACCAGUGGCGAAGGCGACCACCUGGGCUAAUACUGACACUGAGGUGCGAAAGCGUGGGGAGCAAACAGG